rnacentral:rRNA from 1 species
GAUGAACGCUGGCGGCGUGCCUAAUACAUGCAAGUCGAGCGAACGGACGAGAAGCUUGCUUCUCUGAUGUUAGCGGCGGACGGGUGAGUAACACGCGGAUAACCUACCUAUAAGACUGGGAUAACUUCGGGAAACCGUAGCUAAUACCGGAUAAUAUUUUGAACCGCAUGGUUCAAAAGUGAAAGACGGUCUUGCUGUCACUUAUAGAUGGAUCCGCGCUGCAUUAGCUAGUUGGUAAGGUAACGGCUUACCAAGGCAACGAUGCAUAGCCGACCUGAGAGGGUGAUCGGCCACACUGGAACUGAGACACGGUCCAGACUCCUACGGGAGGCAGCAGUAGGGAAUCUUCCGCAAUGGGCGAAAGCCUGACGGAGCAACGCCGCGUGAGUGAUGAAGGUCUUCGGAACGUAAAACUCUGUUAUUAGGGAAGAACAUAUGUGUAAGUAACUGUGCACAUCUUGACGGUACCUAAUCAGAAAGCCACGGCUAACUACGUG